rnacentral:rRNA from 1 species
CUUACGCUAAUACCGCAUGCGCCCUUCGGGGAAAGCCGGGGACCUUCGGGCCUGGCGCGAUUGGAUGAGCCAUGUCGGAUUAGCUAGUGGCGGGUAAUGGCCCACCAAGGCGACGAUCCGUAGCUGGGUCUGAGAGGAUGAUCAGCCACACUGGAACUGAGACACGGUCCAGACUCCUACGGGAGGCAGCAGUAGGGAAUAUUGGACAAUGGGCGCAAGCCUGAUCCAGCCAUGCCGCGUGAGUGAAGAAGGCCCUCGGGUUGUAAAGCUCUUUUGUCCGGAAAGAAAGCGCCGGGUUAAUACCCUAGUGUCCUGACGGUACCGGAAGAAUAAGCACCGGCUAACUUCGUG